GCCCCGGUAGCUCAGUCCGGCAGAGCGGCGGGCUGCAGACCCGUAGGUCCCGGGUUCAAAGGCGGCUUUGCCG
rnacentral:tRNA from 1 species